rnacentral:rRNA from 1 species
ACCCGCUGAACUUAAGCAUAUCAAUAAGCGGAGGAAAAGAAACCAACUGGGAUUGCCCUAGUAACGGCGAGUGAAGCGGCAACAGCUCAAAUUUGAAAUCUGGCUCCCUUUGGGGGUCCGAGUUGUAAUUUGCAGAGGGUGCUUUGGCGUUGGUGGCGGUCUAAGUUCCUUGGAACAGGACAUCGCAGAGGGUGAGAAUCCCGUAUGUGGUCGCCUGCCUUCGCCGUGUAAAGCCCCUUCGACGAGUCGAGUUGUUUGGGAAUGCAGCUCUAAAUGGGAGGUAAAUUUCUUCUAAAGCUAAAUACCGGCCAGAGACCGAUAGCGCACAAGUAGAGUGAUCGAAAGAUGAAAAGCACUUUGGAAAGAGAGUCAAACAGCACGUGAAAUUGUUGAAAGGGAAGCGCUUGCAGCCAGACUUGCCCGUAGUUGCUCACCUGGAUUUCUAUCCGGGGCAUUCUUCUGCGGGCAGGCCAGCAUCAGUUUGGGCGGUCGGAUAAAGGCCUCUGUCAUGUAUCUUCCUUCGGGAUGACCUUAUAGGGGAGGUGUAAUGCGAUCAGCCCGGACUGAGGUCCGCGCUUCGGCUAGGAUGCUGGCGUAAUGGCUGU